rnacentral:misc_RNA from 1 species
UUUCCGUAGGUGAACCUGCGGAAGGAUCAUUACAAAGUUCAUGCCCUCACGGGUAGAUCUCCCACCCUUGAAUAUUUACACCUUAGUUGCUUUGGCAGGCCGUGGAAACACCAUGGGCUCCGGCUUAUGCGUGCCUGCCAGAGGAAACAAACUCUGUUUUUAGUGAUGUCUGAGUACUAUAUAAUAGUUAAAACUUUCAACAACGGAUCUCUUGGUUCUG